AAUACAGACAGUCUACAGAUUGUUUCCAUUUUCAGUGGAUGUAGGGGACGGUCCAAAAGGUGAAGAGCUCUUUCCACAAGCAGAGUCCGAGUGCCCUUACAGCUGCUCACCAUCUAGGCAGAUGUGGGCAUGGCAUCACGAUUCUGCUUUUACUCUGUGUGAGACCAGGAUAGCCAGCCUUAGAUGUCCCGGAGGAAUGGUACAGAAUGCCAGAGUUGGGAAGCAAUUUUUAGUCUUGGGAGUCCAGGGGAAUCACCUCCCAGAAAGAAACUUAAGUUGACAAGAAAUUGUGCCUCUUGGGAAAUCCUCACGCCACUACAGUUUUCCCUUCUAGGCUGAAAAUAGUUAGGACAAACUGCCGUCUGUUAUACAACAGUCCAGGUAUUGAGGAAGGCCCCAGAACUCUGUGGGGUGGGGAAUAGCAGAAUCCCUCCCCCCCCACACACAAAUGAACCUAAUAUGUGCAUUAGAUCUCCUUCCACAUACACACACAAAGUAUUUGGGGAAGUAAUGUGACUGUACCUUGAGAACUGGGAAGUCUAAACUGGUCCUAGGGAAUCAAACCCUGGGAGAGUCACGGGAGCACUAGCAGCCAGACAGAGGGAUGUGUUUUCCUCACAUCCUGAAGUUUGCUUCCACGUUCUCCUGGCUCCCCUUCCCACCUCCUGCUUGUCCACCAUCACCCCAGCCUUCUCUCUCUCCUCAGACUCACAGACCACUUUCCCUACUCAAAAUAAAAAUGAGAUCCGUGUUGGAAUGCUUUAUUAUUCUUAGGACAUGACUGAGUACAUGAUGGCUCCUUUGAUCUCACACUGCAUUUACACUCUUUGGUCUUUGUUCUUGUUUGGUUGGUGCUGUGAACUGGAGCACAGCCUCUCUUGUGCACUCUACCUCUUAAACACUCUGCCACCAAGGCACAGCAUUGGCCCACUGGCAGGGUGAAGAUGUGUCUCAGACUAGAUGCUCUGAGAUUCUGUUCCUGAAGUGUCAGAAGAUAGAAGCAGCCUCAAUGUGCUCCUGUUCAGUUAUUCUAAAUGACCUCGGAGAGCAUCUUUCUGGGUGACAUCGGGAUUCCAUGCUGUCACAUAUGUGGAACAGGAUUGCUCAUAGGUAGAAGAACCUUGUUACCUGAGCCAUCAGCUGCCACCUGCUCUAGUGGAUGGUCAGGGUGAGACCAUCUAGUGGAUGGUCAUCCUGAGCCCAGGAUGAGAGUGCAGGGAAACCUCAUACCUUUGCCAGUUUGUAAUACUGUGUGGUGGCUUGAAUGAAAAUGACCCCCAAAGACUCAUGGGAAGUUAGGAGGUGUGGCCUUGCUGCAGUAGGUGUGGCCUUGCUGGAGGAUGUGUAUCACUGGGGGUGGAAUUUGGGGCUUCAGAAGUUCAAGCCAGGCCCAGUGUUGCUCUUUCUUCCUGAUGCCUGUAGAUCUGAAUGUAGAACUCUCAGCUCCUUACCCAGCACCAUGUCUCCUUCAGGCUGCCGUGCUUCCUGUCAUGAUGACAAUGGACUACACUUUUGAACUGUAAACCAGCCCCAAUGAAGUGUUUUUCUGUAUGAGAUUUGCUGUGGCCAUGCUGUCUCAUCACAGCAACAGAAACCCUAAGACAGACUGUCUAUUGAUGAUCCACAGCAACAGAGCUGCAAAAUUACAUGUGCUUUUUGUUUUCUGGAGAAAUGCACAAAAUAAAAAUGUAUGAUUUAAAAGGAA